rnacentral:rRNA from 1 species
GGAAUUGUUCGCAAUGGGCGCAAGCCUGACGACGCAACGCCGCGUGGAGGACGAAGAUCUUCGGGUCGUAUACUCCUGUCGAGCGGGAAGAAAACCGCGGGGAUGAAUAAUCCCUGCGGCUGACGGUACCGCUCAAGGCAGCCCCGGCUCACUCCGUGCCAGCAGCCGCGGUACUACGGGGGGGGCAAGCGUUGUUCGGAAUUACUGGGCGUAAAGGGCUCGUAGGGGGCCAACUAAGUCGGAUGUGAAAUCCCCAGGCUCAACCUGGGAACUGCAUCCGAUACUGGAUGGCUUGAAUCCGGGAGAGGGAUGCAGAAUUCCAGGUGUAGCGGUGAAAUGCGUAGAUAUCUGGAGGAAUACCGGUGGCGAAGGCGGCAUCCUGGACCGGCAUUGACGCUGAUGAGCGAAAGCCAGGGGAGCAAAC